GAUGAACGCUGGCGGCGUGCCUAACACAUGCAAGUCGAGCGAACAGACAGUGAGCUUGCUCCUUUGACGUUAGCGGCGGACGGGUGAGUAACGCGUGGAUCACCUACUUAUAUUUCUGGGAUAAUUCCGGGAAGCCGGUUCUAAUGCAGGAGCACAUGUUGAACCGCAGGGUUCUACGGAUAUUUGCGGCUUUGCUGUCUCUUUUAGCUGGUGCCGGGCUGUAUUGGUUGGUUGGUGAGGUCACGGCUCACCAAGGCAACGAUACGUAUCUGACGUGAGAGGGGGAUCGGCGACACGGGAAGGGAGACACGGGCCAGAGUCCUACGGGAGGGAGCAGUAGGGAAUCUUACGCAAUGGGGGGAAGCAUGACGGAGCAACGCCGCGUGAGUGAUAAAGGGCUUCGGAGCGUAAAACUCUGUUAUUAGGGAAAAACAAAUGAGUAAGUAAAUGUGCGGUUCUUGACGGUACCUAAUAAGAAAGCCACGGCUAACUACGUG
rnacentral:rRNA from 1 species